AUCCCUUCCCGCAGAUGUGCACGACCUACCCUUCCCCAGCCAGCCGCCGCCAACCAUGCUUGCCUCCGGCCAACCGCCCCUGCUGACCCUGCCGCCCUCAUCGCCGGCGGUCCCCGGUAAGCACCUCUCCAGAGAUGCGGGAUCAAGCCGCCGCCACCAUGGAUUCAGCCGCCACGCCCCAAUCGAUGGUCCUCAUGGCCAGCCACCGCCGGUGACUUACACCGCCACGCCCAAUGCCCCCCUGCCAGUCACGGCCGCUCCACAGAAGAGCAUUAAUUCCACCAUAUUCCUUCGUCUUCCCCGCUUUUAUGUCGCAAACUCUUCCACCUUCCAUGCCACAAAUGCAUAUGAAACGGCCUCGCAGCACUCAAUUUACUACCGUCAUUAUCUCCUGCUUCAUUACCCUGCAAAUGCGGAAAAGGUUGUGCUUAUAACCCCUCUGCCAUACGCAUCGACCACGAACGCCUGCUCACAUCCAUGUCUGGGAACCAACUACAGCCGUACUAGGUUGUGCUAGGGAUGAAAGGAUGCUGAGCGUGUAGGUUUUUUGCUGCUCAGAUUGGCCACAUUGUAUCACAGAUUGCUCUCCGAAUCGAAAGGUGCUUCAACUUCUGUUUAGUAGGUCUCUUGCUCCUCGGAUUGCCUUCAUUUCAGUUUUGCAGCGGUCUCCUGCUUCUUACAUUGGUUCACGAAGCUACUGACCCUGAAAGAGUGGUGAUGCGAGUGAGAUUCUGAGAGAUUUCUCUCGGAUCAAAAGGAGCUCGACGUUAUGCUUCACAGAUCUCUUCCUGCUCGGACUGGAUUCAUUGCUUCAUAGGUAUCUUGCAGCUCGCAUUGAUAAAAAAUGGAGUCUAAUGAUGGAUCAUCCGGUUCAUCAAGUGAAACAGUCAAUGAAAUAGAAAAUCAUCCAGAAUGUCGCUAUAUGACACCAAAUGAGAUUGUUUGGCGCUUGCCAGAGAGAAUGAAGAUUGAUUCAGUAUCCAGGUUCCCCGUAAGUUAUGUCAUAAAGAAAAGCUUCUCGGUUGACAAUGCACAAGUGUUACCUUCUACAAAGCCAUAUCCAUGCAAAGAAAUGAUGACCCAUCCAUCUUCGAAGAAUAUCGAGAGUGCGAUGACCCAUACACCAGAGGAUGCAAACAAUACUACACCUCCCUCUUGCCAACCCGCAACUAAUGUCAUUGAGAAAAAAAAUAGGUACUCUUUGGCUAAAAUGAGCAUUGAACUUUCAGAAGAUGAAACCACCAAAAAAGAGAUUAUUGUGCAUUUAGGACAUGCGAGGGAAAAAUGACAUUGUCAAGGUGCAUGCAAUCACAAGAAUAAUGCUGCACAAGUUAGCAACAUGAACGACAUAGAAGAGAUGCACCUACGAGCUACACUACUACCUUUCUACAUAAAAUUUAGUUACAUCCUUGCUUCAAUUGUAAUCGCGACAAACUCAUGUUAUUACUAUUUCCUAAUGACCCUAUGCAUAUUACCUAUGCAAUUAUUAAGUCUGAAUUGUGAAGUCCAUGGGUGAUAUGCACUUUACAGAGCUGAUUAUUUGUAUUUUAAUUCAAUUGUUCUCAAAUCUAUUAACCUUGAUGGUUCAAUAAAUAUACAAAUAUA